rnacentral:tRNA from 1 species
UGUAGCUCAAGAGUAAGAGUGCUUGCCUACCAUGCAUGAAGCCUAGGUUCUAUUCCUAACA